UACACCACCCCUCUCUCUCUCCCUCUACCCUUUCUUCCCCAUCCAAAUCCCCUGCAAUUUGAUAACCAAAUCAAAAUCCCCUCUUCACACACACCCCUUUCUUUCUCAAAACACACAGAGUAGUCAUCACCACCGCCAUUUUUCUGGAGUAGUCACCACCACCUUCAUUUUUCCGGCGACAUCCAGUCACCACCACCAAUUUUCGCCGCCAGAAACAUAGGGUUUGUUUGGAUAAAAUCCUAUCUCUCUCCUCCAUCAUAUUCGCCAUGGCAUUCAGAUCAACUUAAAUAAUUAUCAUUUCAUCAAGUAAUCACAAGCUUAUCCUGAUACGUUUCCCCAAAUCUUCUUCCCGACAUGUUUCAGGCGGCCGGAAAUCGUGGUGGUGACCAGCUUUAAGAGAGAGAGAGAUGGAGAAGAUAAAGGUAGAGAAAGAUGGAGAAAAGAGAGCUGAGGGAGAGAUACUUGGUGUUUAUUUAUUUAUUGGAGAAGAUGGUAUUUUUUAUUAAUGAACAUUUUAAAUAAAAACAAGAAAUGACUAUAAUACCCUUAA